UUAACCCCAACUCUCUAUCUCCAAGUUGAAACCUUGGCCCUCUUUCUCUCCAAAGCUUCUCCACCUCAUCCACCACCUCUUCAGACCCCUCCAUCUCCGAUCGAAAACUGAUAGACCACCUAUUUAGACUCUCCUCUCCAUCCUCGAUCCUUCCCCAAAUCAACUCUCACUCCCUCAUCGAUCCUUCUUCUCCCCCUCCUCCUUCUCUGGCGUCAUCACCGACGGUCUCCCUCCUCCUCCGGUCUCAUCGCCGACAGUCUCCCUCCUCUUUCAGCCUCUCCGCCCCUCCACCAUGCUCCUCCUCCUCUCCACACCUCCACCUCAUUUUUUUGGGGUUUGAUUCGAAGGAGUUCUGCACGUAACCAGAUCUGCGUUGCUGGUCAUCGGUCAUCAUCGUGCCGAGUGCGGGGGAGGCGGACGGCGUUCUACCGGCUGAGCUUAGCCUUCUUCCUAACCAGUUCCAAGACACUGACAAUUGAUAGGCUUCCUGUAGUUCUUGGUGCUCUUGAACUUGUAGGAAUCGGUCACACUGGGACGAUUCGAUGAUAUGGAGUUACAUACUUCUUAAAGUCGAUUGUCUUCUGAUCAAUCCCAACAAUCGAGGCAGCCAUAAUAAUCCGAGGUCGGUCUUUCAUCAUUUGCACAACAGUUUGAUGCUGGUCCUUCUUUAUCCUACGGCAGCUUGAGUCACAGUAGGAUCCACCUACUGAGGAGGAUCUUGUUAUGAAUGAGAUAUAUAUCCAGGAUGCAUCCAAGAGAGCAUGAAUUAGACGUGGACCUACAUGGACUAGAGAUAUUUGGCACUUAGCUAAGGAUGAGUGGGUUGUCAUCUGGUGCAACUAGAUGGGGCAGCCCAUUAACAAGAUAGCUAGAUUGUUGAUGAGCUUCUUAGAUGGAUGAGCAUGAGAGGAAGUCUGGUCAGAUGGAGUUUUACAAAAUGACUCAUAUUCAUCGAGAUGGCCAUUUUGUUACUGACGAGUCGAGAGAUAUAUUUGUAUGGAGAGCUUCAUCUCUUGUUGCUGAGCGUGUCGGCGAGUCCUCAGUAUCUAUGGAGAUCAGUCAUGUCGAGGCUCAGGCUCCUGAUGGUUCCAGCAAUGGUGGAGUUAAUGAUGAUCAUGCUUCUAUGGAUGACUGAUAGCUCGAUGCCUCUAUAUUUCUUUUGAGUUUUAUAGAUUUUUUUUCCUUCUCUUUAGUUGUGGAUUGUUAUUCAUGAACAUGAUGGACAGUGUAAUCAUGACUUUAUUAUAUGAUAUGGAAUGUUAUUAUGACUUUA